rnacentral:lncRNA from 1 species
AAUUCAUCCUUAUAAUAAAAUUCAAUGGCUCCUGUUUUUAAUUUUUAUUCAUAUCACUGUCUUUCAGUCCUGAAAAACGAAAAAACCAACUAAAGUGCCAGCAUAUCUCAGGGUAAAGUGAGGAGAAUAAAGACAACUGAAGACCCCACUUUUUCUCAUCUCUUGUAUGAAAUGCAAAUUUGUCACAUUGAUCCUUAUAAGUUUAGAAGAUUAAAUGCUACUUUGCAGUAACAGUUGGCUGGCAUUGAAAUAAAUUCACGGCAACUACAGAGCGCUACAGUCUAGAGUCGACAUUCAAGUGUUUGGAAAAAAUAAAAGAAGGAAGAAAUAAAAGAAAAGAAAAGAGAGAGAAUUUAAGAUCUCUUGAUUCCUGA